rnacentral:piRNA from 1 species
UGCUGACACAAAUACAGGCCCGUUGCCAG